CUACGGGUCGCUCCAGUGAGGAAUCUUCCACAAUGGACGAAAGUCUGAUGGAGCGACACCGCGUGAAGGAUGAAGGCCUAACGGUUGUAAACUUCUUUUCUGAAGGAGCAUAAUGAGAGUACUUCAGGAAUAAGGGACGGCUAAAUACGUGCCAGCAGCCGCGGUAAUACGUAUGUCUCAAGCGUUACCCGGAAUCACUGGGUGUAAAGGGUUCGUAGGCUGUUUAGUAAGUUGGAUAUGAAAGACCGGAGCUCAACUUCGUGUUUGUGUUCAAAACUGUUAAACGAGAAUCAGGGAGAGGUAAGUGGAAUUCUGUGUGUAGGGGUGCAAUCCGUAGAUACACAGAGGAACACCAAAAGCGAAGGCAACUUACUGGAACUGUAUUGACGCUCAUGAACGAAAGCGUGGGUAGCGAAAAGGAUUAGAUACCCCCGUAGUC
rnacentral:rRNA from 1 species